AGGUGUUGCAUGGCUGUCGUCAGCUCGUGUCGUGAGAUGUUCGGUUAAGUCCGCUAACGAGCGCAACCCUCGCUGUGUGUUACAAGUGUCACACGGUACUGGCCGAUAUUUAAGUCGGAGGAAGGUGGGGAUGACGUCAAGUCAGCAUGACCUUUAUAUCCAGGGCCUACACACACGCUACAAUGGCCAGUACAAUGGGUUGCCAAGCCGCGAGGCGGAGCCAAUCCUAAAAAGCUGGCCUCAGUUCAGAUUGCAGUCUGCAACUCGACUGCAUGAAGUUGGAGUUGCUAGUAACCGCAGGUCAGCAAUACUGCGGUGAAUACGUUCCCGGGGAUU
rnacentral:rRNA from 1 species